CUUCAUGAGUUGUGGUCGCCUGCCAAUAGGCAAAGCUCCGACUGACCACACGCCAACCCCAAGUUCACGGGUGGCUCGGAUGACGAAGCGACUCGGCGGGCCGCGAGACAAACCCGCAGGGUAAGAGCUCUCG
rnacentral:ncRNA from 2 species